AGAGGCUGGCCAGCAAGAAGGUAUACAGCACACCUUUCCUCACUGGUAAACACAGGAGAGAGGUUCAUGGUGCUGCUGCUGCAUCCAGGAUUCCGCUCACCUAUAUGCAGAACCGGAUUCUGGACUGAUCACGGUCUUUCUAGCCGGCACAAAAGUCCACAAACUGUCCAGAUUUGAUCUUAGACGGAGGGGGCACCGGUUAUCUGCCAUUUCAAUGAAAAUUUAGCCGCAACACCUAUUUUAUUUCACCGAGCACUGGUUGGAUCUGUGCCUCUGCUGAGCGAUGAAUGAUCCUGUCGGGACGGGGCGCACCAUCCCUUUCUUCCCAUGCUGACCAUGCCAGUGUACCGAGUGCCUAUAACCUACACUGUAAAAAAUGUCUGUUUGA